GUGUCACCUGCCAGUCAAUUUGCAUUCAGCCUGCCUCCGAGUCUGUGUCGCCGGGUGAAACCAUUAAACUCUCCGGCACAACUAGUGAUACUGGCUCUGCUGUUCGCUGGUAUCAACAGAGAUCAGGGCAGGUCCCUCGAUUUGUGCAAUAUGAAGGUAGCAGCAGGGGAGAAGGGAUCCCGGAUCGAUUCACAGCUUCUCGCUCUGGGAACAUUGGCUAUUUAACCAUCACCAAUGUCCAGGCUGAAGACGAGGCCGUUUAUCAUUGUGGCAGAUGGUAUAAUAACCUGUUUCACAGUGAUACAAACCAAUGGGGAAGUGGGACAAAAACCUUUCCUCUUUGACCAAACAGCAGUGAUCUGUGAAUGCUUGAAAUAAACUUCAUAUAGUCUGUCUCUACAUCUGUUGUCAAGUCCAUCCUACUCUGGAUGGAACCAGAAGAGACAGAAAACUCUGAAGUCCCACCUCCUUCCUCACAGCAGGACCUUGGAGCUGCCAGCCCAGCACACCCUCAAGUCAGCCCUUCCCAGUGGAUGAAAGAUUGCAUUGGGAAAGUCAGGCUGCAGACUUCAUAUCAUUCCAGAUGGAAGUCUGUUUUAGGAAUGGUGAGCUAUAAGAGAAAUGCCACCUGCUGACUGCUAAGUUGGGUCUUCAUUGAGCCUAUUGUAAUGUUCUUAUCAUUUUCUGAGCAGUAUUAUUAUUAUUAUUAUUAGUAGUAGUAGUAGUACAACUUCAAGGGGUGUGUGUGUGUGUGUGUGUGUGUGUAAAUAACCCAUAUCAUAAAGAUAACACAAUUGCCAAUAGGCCUCAUUCCAAAAGGAAUGAUGAACCCUGGGAAACGCCUGGAACCCAUGGAACCCCUCACAACUUGGAGAUUGGGGUGGUGUGGAGAAAUAGGCUUUGUGACUGCAGUUGCUGUCAAGUCCAACGUCUUCUGCCUAGAACUUGUAACAGAUAAAAAGCACAUUUGAAGACCCCCCCUCUUGCUGCAGAGCAGGACCUCUAUCAUGUCUGCGCUCAGAGUCAGCACCACCACCUGGGCUGGAUGGAAGUAGGAAGCCAAGCAGAUGGGGGCACUUAAUCCCAUCCGCACUCUUGUUCCAGGCUGCUGGAGAGUCUGGUGGGAGUCCGCCAAUUCUGCUCUCCCACGAAGGUCUCAGGGAUAGCAUUCGUGUCACUGUUGCCGGCUGCGUGCCUUUUCAUCCCAAUCUCCGCUCCUCAUAUGCCAGAAGGUGGCACCAGAGACUUUUGAAAUAACAAGAAUGAAUGUUUUCUUCACCAAGUUCAUGCAAUAAUUUAAAGUUCUAUAGUGUUGUACAGUCGGGGUAGGGAAACUCUGGCCUUUCUGAAGUUGUUGGACUCCUACUCCCAUCAGCCCCGGCCAGCAAGAGCAAUAGAAGGAUGCAAAGAGCAGGCGGACCAAUCGGCCCCUUUCUGUGCAGGAGGACAUAGAGUAGGCUGCCCGGAGUGUGCAGCUUGGUUUGUGCAGCCCUGACUAGUGGGUGUUCUUCCCCUCUUUUGAACUUCUCAAUCCUUUGUUUCACUGAUUCAUUUCAUAAUAUUUCUACACCACUUGAUCGUAUUAAAAAAGCCUCAAAGGUUAUAAAGAGAUAAGACAAUGAAGAAAAAAUCACAAUGUUACUAUAAAAAAUAAAAAAUAAAAAUACAAUAGUCAGACUGAACUUUCUAAGACUUUCUAAGAAUUAUGAGCUUUUUUCAUUCCUACACAGUCCUCUGUCCCUCCUGCCCAUAUUAGGAAUGGUCCCAAGUGAGAUAGAUGUCCCACUCCAUAAAAAGCAGUGUUCCCAGGACCCUUCCUAAUAGACGACUUGUUGCAAAGAGUUCCUUCAUGGCUGUCUCAUAAGACCCUGGCUGAACUAAGGGCCAGUCUUGCUGCUUUGAGAAAUCUCAUUUAUGCAAAUCUGCCCUCAGGCCCUUGGACUGAAUGUCCUAUGAUGCUCUGCAGGAUCUCCCAAUCCCAAUCGAGGCAAUCAAUGAUCAAAGAAGAUAUUUGCAUGAAGGGGCAGCUCUUCAGCUCUGGGGGAUUUAAGAGAGGAGUGAGGAAAUUUCCCUCAGUAGUUCAAACUCCUCUGGAGAGCUCACCAUCAUGUCAUCAUUUCUCUUUCUCCUUGCUCUUUUUAUUUACUGCUCAGGUAACGCUUUGGAGAAGAUCUCAUUUUCCAUUGGCCAACCAAAAGCUAACUGCAUUUAUCAUUUUAUUUAUUUGAGAGCACUUGAAAUAUUCCUUUUUCUGAUUUGUUAUUAAACAGGUGUCACCUGCCAGUCAAUUUGCACUCAGCCUGCCUCCGAAUCUGUGGCACCAGGUCAAACCAUUAAACUCUCCUGUACAACUAGUGAUACUAUUUCCUACGUUCGCUGGUUUCAACAGAGAUCAGGGCAGGCCCCUCGAUUUGUGCAGUAUGAGGGUAGCAGCAGGGGAAAAGGGAUCCCGGAUCAGUUCACUGCUUCCCGCUCUGGGAACAAUGGCUAUUUAACCAUCACCAAUGUCCAGGCUGAAGACGAGGCCGUUUAUCACUGUGGCAGAUGGUAUGGUAACACGUUCCACAGUGAUGCAAAGUAAUGGGGAAGUGUGGCAAAAACCUUUUCUCUUCCACCAAAGAGCAGUGAGAUGUGAAUACUGAAAACGAACUUCAUCUAAUCUGUGUCUACAUCUGUUGUCAAGUCCAUCCUACUCUGGAUGGAACCAGAAGAGACAGAAAACUCUGAAGUCCCACCUCCUUCCUCACAGCAGGACCUUGGAGCUGCCAGCCCAGCACACCCUCAAGUCAGCCCUUGCCAGUGGAUGAAAGAUUGCAUUGGGAAAGUCAAGCUGCAGACUUCAUAUCAUUCCAGAUGGAAGUCUGUUUUAGGAAUGGUGAGCUAUAAGAGAAAUGCCACCUGCUGACUGCUAGGUUGGGUCUUCAUUGAGCCUAUUGUAAUGUUCUUAUCAUUUUCUGAGUAUUAUUGUUAUUAUUAUUAUUAGUAGUAGUUGUAGUACAACUUCAAGUUGUGUGUGUGUGUGUGUGUGUGUGUGUGUGUGUAUGUGUGUGUGUGUGUGUAAAUAACCCAUAUCAUAAAGAUAACACAAUUGCCAAUAGGCCUCAUUCCAAAAGGAAUGAUGAACACUGGGAAAUGCCUGGAACCCAAUUAACCCCCCACCACUUGGAGUUUGGGGUGACGUGGAAAAAUAGGCUUUGUGACUGCAGUUGCUGUCAAGUCCAACUUCUUCUGCCUAGAACUUGUAACAGAUAAAAAGCACAUUUGAAGACGCCCCCCUUGCUGCAGAGCAGGACCUCUAUCAUGUCUGCGCUCAGAGUUAGCACCACCACCUGGGCUGGAUGGAAGUAGGAAGCCAAGCAGAUGGGGGCACUUAAUCCCAUCCGCACUCUUGUUCCAGGCUGCUGGAGAGUCUGGUGGGAGUCCGCCAAUUCUGCUCUCCCACGAAGGUCUCAGGGAUAGCAUUCUUGUCACUGUUGCCGGCUGCGUGCCUUUUCAUCCCACUCUCCGCUCCUCAUAUGCCAGAAGGUGGCACCAGAGACUUUUGAUAUAACAAGAAUGAAUGUUUUCUUCACCAAGCUCAUGCAAUAAUUUAAAGUUCUAUAGUGUUGUACAGCGGGGGUAGGGAAACUCUGGCCUUUCAGAAGUUGCUGGACUCCAACUCCCAUCAGCCCCGGCCAGCAAGAGCAAUAGAAGCAUGCAAAGAGCAGGCGGACCAAUCGGUCCCUUUCUGUGCAGGAGGACAUAGAGUAGGCUGCCUUGAGUGUGCAGCUUGUUUUGUGCAGCCCUGAGGAGUGGGUGUUCUUCCCCUCUUUUGAACUUCUCAAUCCUUUGUUUCACUGAUUCAUUUCAUAAUAUUUCUACACCACUUGAUCGUAUUAAAAAAGCCUCAAAGGUUAUAAAGAGAUAAGACAAUGAAGAAAAAAUCACAAUGUUACUAUAAAAAAUAAAAAAUAAAAAUACAAUAGUCAGACUGAACUUUCUAAGACUUUCUAAGAAUUAUGAGCUUUUUUCAUUCCUACACAGUCCUCUGUCCCUCCUGCCCAUAUUAGGAAUGGUCCCAAGUGAGAUAGAUGUCCCACUCCAUAAAAAGCAGUGUUCCCAGGACCCUUCCUGAUAGACGUCUUGUUGCAAAGAGGUCCUUUCAAUGCUGUCUCAUAAGACACUGUUUGAACCAAGGGCCAGUCUUGCUGCUUUGAGAAAUCUCAUUCAUGCAAAUCUGCCCUUGGGUCCUUGGACUGAACGUCCCAUAAUGCUCUGCAGGAUCUCCAAAUCCCAAUAGAGGCAAUCGAUGAUCAAAGAAAAUAUUUGCAUGAAGGGGCAGCUCUUCAGCUCUGGGGGAUUUAAGAGACGAAUGAGGAAGUUUCCUUCAGUAGUUCAAACUCCUCUGGAGAGCUCACCAUCAUGUCUUCAUUUCUCUUUCUCCUUGCUCUUUUUAUUUACUGCUCAGGUAACGCUUUGGAGAAAAUCUCAUUUUCCAUUGGCCAACCAAAAGCUAACUGCAUUUAUCGUAUUUACUUAUUUGAGAACACUGAAAAUGUUCCUUUUUCUGAUUUGUUAUUAAACAGGUGUCACCUGCCAGUCAAUUUGCACUCAGCCUGCCUCCGAAUCUGUGGCACCAGGUCAAACCAUUAAACUCUCCUGUACAACUAGUGAUACUAUUUCCUACGUUCGCUGGUAUCAACAGAGAUCAGGGCAGGCCCCUCGAUUUGUGCAGUAUGAGGGUAGCAGCAGGGGAGAAGGGAUCCCGGAUCGGUUCACUGCUUCCCGCUCUGGGAACAAUGGCUAUUUAACCAUCACCAAUGUCCAGGCUGAAGACGAGGCCGUUUAUCACUGUGGCAGGUGGUAUGGUAACACGUUC
rnacentral:lncRNA from 1 species